GAUGUCCUAAGUGGUUAGAGCGUCUGCCUCUGAUGCGAGAGGUUGUGGGUUCGAAUCCCGGCCGAUAUACA